GACCUUUGAAAUCUCGCCGCGCCAUUCUAUAUUAAGGGUGUCGGCUUCGGUCGACUAUGGCGAUAAACGGCUAUGCGGAAUAGACGUAGCGGACCCGGGGGCAGUUCCCGGCGCCUCCACCAAUUUCUGGUACGGUCAAAAUUUCGUACGAUCUAAGACUUUGGGGGCGAAUCAGGCUCGACGUGCGUUGAAAGGCUUAGCUUUCGCCCGGUAUGAUACCGCCGUGAUGGGUCAAAACACACAAAUGCCAACGACAAUGACGUCAUGGCUGUUGCUGCGUAAGCAGUAACUGGGGUUCGGGAGGCACCUCGCAACAGAAGCCUCCCACU
rnacentral:tmRNA from 1 species